GGCAAAGAAGAGAAAGAAAACUGACCGAGAGAAAAAGAAAGAGAACCGAAGCUCCUUUGAUCUUUCGGUCUUGAUUUCUUGUGAUUCAUAACUCUAAUAAAAAAUUUAAUUCGGUAAAAGUGUUUGUAUCCUCCUCUUCUACAUGAUGGCGUUACUUUUGUCCAGUAGAAGUUGACGGUGACGUAACUUCUCUUUCUUUUGAGUUCGGCUAACUGGAGUUCUAGGAAGCACAGACGAUUUCUGACGCUUUCUCCUUCAGCAACCCAGUCAGAAAGUUUCUCCGGAGCUUUCGAUGAUUUUGAUUUCAUACGAAGGUGGGAAAUUUUAUUUUGAAAUUAACUGUUUUAAAUUAUGAAUGUCACGGAAGUCUAGUGGAUAUUUGCAAAUAAUUUAUGAUUGUUUGGAAUGACUGAAUGAUGAGUUUGAAUUGAAGCUAUGAUUGAUAUUGAUUUUGUGAUUGAUAUUGGUUUUCUGAUUUUGAUGGAGUUUUUGAAAUUCUGAUUUUAUGUGAUUAUGAUGAAUUGGUUGAGUUGUGGCUGUAAAAGGUGAUUAAAUUAGUGUUACUUGUUAAAUUGUAAUAUGAUGAGUUAAUUAUUGAAGAAAUUAUCGUAUUGAUAAUUGUUGAAUGGAGUUGGAUUUGAGUCUGGUUUGAAAAGUGAUGAAUUUGAGGGAGCCCGUAUGGGUGGUGAAGUCCAAUUUUUAAGAGGGAUUAUGCGCAAUUUUAUGUAAAAGUAACCGAAAACGUGGUAUUAUUUCGAAAAUCUGAUUUAUAAAUUUAUUUUGAAACAUGAUUUUAUAGUGAAAAACAUUUUAUUUACAUAUUUACUCAUAUUGAGAAACGUAUUUUGUAUUGAAAAUUGCCAAUCUGAUUUAUGAAUAUUGUUUGAUUUUUGAAUUAUUACGGAAAGAGUUAUGUUCAAUCCGAUUUAUUAAGAAAAUUAUAAUCUUUUAAAUUCACUCUUUUGAGAAGAGAUUUUGUUUUAAGUUAUGAUAUGAAUUUGGUUUGUUAAGAAAAAGAAAGAAUGAGAAAAGAACAUGGCACGUGUGAUUAUGAAAUGUUUAAAAGGUCACGAGAGGGUGACGGAAAGUAAAUGGUUUUGGUGCCAAUGGGAUAAUGUUAAGCUGUGGGCUUUAUAUGUGAAUAAUUGUGCGGGGACGCCCGUGUGUAUGAAAUGGCUUCUAGGAGAAAGUGGUAUUUAUUUCAUUACUCUUACGGCAUUCCCAUUCCCUACUGAGAACGCGUGGUUUGUUCUCACCCCAAAAUCUUCCACCCUUUCAGUGACACAGGUUCGAAGACUCAGUUCGAAGCUGUGGACGAUUAUUAGUCUUAUUUGAGUUAAGUUUAUGUGUUGAGUCGCUUUUGUGUAAUAUUUAUUACUAUUACUAAUUAUGUGAUUAUUAUUAUUUGGUAUUCUUUGAUGAAUGAUUCUGAUUAUUAACAAAAAAGAUUUUCUUUUGGAAUUUUCUCAAAAACUGAAACCCGAUAUCGACAUAAAGGCUCAAUAUUAAGUAGAUAAUAAAAGAAAAUAAGUUAGUAACUCCUACUUUUGCUACGAUCAUGACGUGCUAAAAGUUAGGGUGUUACAUUAUGGUAUUAGAGCCAGAACCCGGAUCGAUGUACCAGCGAGGGCGCUGGACUCUCUUAGGGGGUGGAUUGUAAGGUCCCACAUCGGUUGGGGAGGGGAACGAAGCAUGCCUUAUAAGGGUGUGGAUACCUCUCCAUAGCAUGACGCGUUUUGACGAGUGAGUGUGGGGGGCUUCGGCUAUCAUCCCUAUCGUCAAAGGCAAAAUCGUGAGGCCUUGUGUGCCAAAGCGGACAAUAUCAUGCUAGCGGGUGGUCUGGGCUGUUACAAUUACUUAUUAAGAGGCGUAAUUCAUAUUCUAAUAUUUAGAAUUUAAAUAUAUAGGUUAGUUUUUAAUAAAAAGAUAAAAGAUUUAAUUUUUUAUUUAAAAUAAAAAAAAUUAAAAAAUGAAUUGAGAUUCUUAAUCAUUUUUUUGUUAAUGUCUAUAUCUAUGUUUAGGUUUAUAAAAACUAUGAAUAUUAUGACAUAUAUUUAUUAUUUAUUUUUAAUUUUUUGAUUAAUUAUCUUAAAUUUGAGUUCACCAAGUUAAGAAAUAAUAGUUUAGGAAUAAAUAUCUCCUUACAAAUUAA
rnacentral:lncRNA from 1 species